GCCGGAGUGGCGGAACAGGCAGACGCAACGGUCUUAAACACCGUUGGGCUAGCGCCCGUGGGGGUUCGAGUCCCCUCUCCGGCC
rnacentral:tRNA from 1 species